rnacentral:rRNA from 1 species
UACGUAGGGUGCGAGCGUUAAUCGGAAUUACUGGGCGUAAAGGGUGCGCAGGCGGCCGCGCAAGUCGAGUGUGAAAGCCCCGGGCUUAACUUGGGAACUGCGCUCGAAACUACGUGGCUGGAGUGUGGCAGAGGAAGGUGGAAUUCCAGGUGUAGCGGUGAAAUGCGUAGAGAUCUGGAGGAACACCGAUGGCGAAGGCAGCCUUCUGGGCCAACACUGACGCUCAUGCACGAAAGCGUGGGGAGCAAACAGG